rnacentral:rRNA from 1 species
GUUGUAUGGUUAAGUGACUAAGCGUACACGGUGGAUGCCUGGGCAGUCAGAGGCGAUGAAGGACGUACUAACUUGCGAUAAGCGCAGAUAAGGCAGUAAGAGCCGUUUGAGUCUGCGAUUUCCGAAUGGGGAAACCCAACUGCAUAAGCAGUUACUGUUAACUGAAUACAUAGGUUAACAGAGCAAACCGGGGGAACUGAAACAUCUAAGUACCCCGAGGAGAAGAAAUCAACCGAGAUUCCGGUAGUAGCGGCGAGCGAACCUGGAUUAGCCCUUAAGCACUCGGUGAAGUAGGUGAACAAGCUGGAAAGCUUGGCGAUACAGGGUGAUAGCCCCGUAACCGACGCUUCAUCGAGCGUGAAAUCGAGUAGGGCGGGACACGUGAUAUCCUGUCUGAAUAUGGGGGGACCAUCCUCCAAGGCUAAAUACUCCUGACUGACCGAUAGUGAACCAGUACCGUGAGGGAAAGGCGAAAAGAACCCCUGUGAGGGGAGUGAAAUAGAACCUGAAACCGUGUACGUACAAGCAGUAGGAGCACCUUCGUGGUGUGACUGCGUACCUUUUGUAUAAUGGGUCAGCGACUUAUAUUCAGUGGCAAGGUUAACCGUAUAGGGGAGCCGUAGCGAAAGCGAGUCUUAACUGGGCGCUCAGUCUCUGGAUAUAGACCCGAAACCGGGUGAUCUAGCCAUGGGCAGGUUGAAGGUUGAGUAACAUCAACUGGAGGACCGAACCGACUAAUGUUGAAAAAUUAGCGGAUGACUUGUGGCUAGGGGUGAAAGGCCAAUCAAACUCGGAGAUAGCUGGUUCUCCCCGAAAGCUAUUUAGGUAGCGCCUCGGACGAAUACUACUGGGGGUAGAGCACUGUUAAGGCUAGGGGGUCAUCCCGACUUACCAACCCUUUGCAAACUCCGAAUACCAGUAAGUACUAUCCGGGAGACACACGGCGGGUGCUAACGUCCGUCGUGGAGAGGGAAACAACCCAGACCGCCAGCUAAGGUCCCAAAGUAUUGCUAAGUGGGAAACGAUGUGGGAAGGCUCAGACAGCUAGGAUGUUGGCUUAGAAGCAGCCAUCAUUUAAAGAAAGCGUAAUAGCUCACUAGUCGAGUCGGCCUGCGCGGAAGAUGUAACGGGGCUAAGCAAUACACCGAAGCUGCGGCAAUAUCUUUUAGAUAUUGGGUAGGGGAGCGUUCUGUAAGCCGUUGAAGGUGAAUCGUAAGGUUUGCUGGAGGUAUCAGAAGUGCGAAUGCUGACAUGAGUAACGACAAAGGGGGUGAAAAACCUCCUCGCCGGAAGACCAAGGGUUCCUGUCCAACGUUAAUCGGGGCAGGGUGAGUCGACCCCUAAGGUGAGGCCGAAAGGCGUAAUCGAUGGGAAACGGGUUAAUAUUCCCGUACUUCUGACUAUUGCGAUGGGGGGACGGAGAAGGCUAGGUGGGCCAGGCGACGGUUGUCCUGGUUCAAGUGCGUAGGCUUGAGAGUUAGGUAAAUCCGGCUCUCUUUAAGGCUGAGACACGACGUCGAGCUGCUACGGCAGUGAAGUCAUUGAUGCCAUGCUUCCAGGAAAAGCCUCUAAGCUUCAGAUAGUCAGGAAUCGUACCCCAAACCGACACAGGUGGUCGGGUAGAGAAUACCAAGGCGCUUGAGAGAACUCGGGUGAAGGAACUAGGCAAAAUGGUACCGUAACUUCGGGAGAAGGUACGCUCUUGAUGGUGAAGUCCCUCGCGGAUGGAGCUGACGAGAGUCGCAGAUACCAGGUGGCUGCAACUGUUUAUUAAAAACACAGCACUGUGCAAAAUCGCAAGAUGACGUAUACGGUGUGACGCCUGCCCGGUGCCGGAAGGUUAAUUGAUGGGGUUAGCGCAAGCGAAGCUCUUGAUCGAAGCCCCGGUAAACGGCGGCCGUAACUAUAACGGUCCUAAGGUAGCGAAAUUCCUUGUCGGGUAAGUUCCGACCUGCACGAAUGGCGUAAUGAUGGCCACGCUGUCUCCACCCGAGACUCAGUGAAAUUGAAAUCGCUGUGAAGAUGCAGUGUACCCGCGGCUAGACGGAAAGACCCCGUGAACCUUUACUACAGCUUGGCACUGAACAUUGAACCUACAUGUGUAGGAUAGGUGGGAGGCUAUGAAGACGUGACGCCAGUUGCGUUGGAGCCGUCCUUGAAAUACCACCCUUGUAUGUUUGAUGUUCUAACUUAGACCC